rnacentral:rRNA from 1 species
UACAGAGGUGGCAAGCGUUGUUCGGAAUUACUGGGCGUAAAGGGCGCGUAGGUGGCCUUCUUAGUCAGACGUGAAAUCCCUGGGCUUAACUCAGGAACUGCGUCUGAUACUGGAAGGCUCGAGUUCGGGAGAGGAGAGUGGAAUUCCUGGUGUAGCGGUGAAAUGCGCAGAUAUCAGGAAGAACACCUAUGGCGAAGGCAGCUCUCUGGGACGGUACUGACGCUGAGACGCGAAAGCGUGGGGAGCGAACAGG